GACGAACGCUGGCGGCGUGCCUAAUACAUGCAAGUUGAGCGAUGAAGAUUGGUGCUUGCACCAAUUUGAAGAGCAGCGAACGGGUGAGUAACGCGUGGGGAAUCUGCCUUUGAGCGGGGGACAACAUUUGGAAACGAAUGCUAAUACCGCAUAAUAACUUUAAACAUAAGUUUUAAGUUUGAAAGAUGCAAUUGCAUCACUCAAAGAUGAUCCCGCGUUGUAUUAGCUAGUUGGUGAGGUAAAGGCUCACCAAGGCGAUGAUACAUAGCCGACCUGAGAGGGUGAUCGGCCACAUUGGGACUGAGACACGGCCCAAACUCCUACGGGAGGCAGCAGUAGGGAAUCUUCGGCAAUGGACGAAAGUCUGACCGAGCAACGCCGCGUGAGUGAAGAAGGUUUUCGGAUCGUAAAACUCUGUUGGUAGAGAAGAACGUUGGUGAGAGUGGAAAGCUCAUCAAGUGACGGUAACUACCCAGAAAGGGACGGCCAACUACGUG
rnacentral:rRNA from 1 species